AUGGGGAGAUCUACCGCUUGCGUCGCAACAAUGGCGUGGCGGAGUACUGGCUCUACUUCUCCUGCAACCCUCUGGAGUGGGAUGCUUACGACCCACACCGUGGGCGCUGGAUCCAAGUGCCCAAGAUACCACCAGACGAAUGCUUCCUGUGCUCUGACAAGGAGUCCCUUGCUGUCAGAACCGAGCUGUUGGUGUUUGGGAUGGCACACAUUGUGUACAGAUAUAGCAUCCUAA
rnacentral:rRNA from 1 species